AGAGAGCAGCAUAUAUUGAGGUAUAACUUCCAAAUAUUUCUAUUCAUUCUCUUUGCCUUGUAGCUCUUUGUAUAUUUGUGAAAUUAAAAUGGCCUUUUCACCAUCAGAUGUCUGAGUUCCUCAAGGUAAGUCACUUUCUCUGUCAACUUGAGUUGAAAAAGUAGCUUUAUGCUCUUGCUUACAUUACACAUUUCUAGCUAGUUUUUGUAUUAUUUAGAUCGACACCUAAAUAUCCCAGUCGAGGGAUUUGUAGUAUUGCAAUUAUUAAGAGUUCUACUAGCUAUUAUUGAAUUCAUUCACCGAUGGGACUUCUAAGUUUUGGUUAGAUCAAAAUCCAAUAUUUUUCUGGUCAGCUGCUUGUUAGAUAGAAUUUGUUUGGUUUGUGCUAAAGUUAUAUGCCAUGGGGGAAGAAUAGUGUAGUUUUUUGCUAGAUACAUAUGCCAUUCCUUAUCGAAGGUAUAAGGGCAUCCAAAAAGCUUAUUAAAAUUUUAAGCUAGCUCACUUAUUGCCUUUGUUUUUUCAAUUGUAUGCUUGGAUCCUUUCAAUUAGUGUUAGAGCAAGGUCAUAUGUUUGUAUUCCAAUAGAAGCAACAUGGUUGGUGGUGGACAAGGUGGAGGAUUGUUUUUGAGGAAUCAAAUGGACGAGUUAGGACCUGCCUCAUGGCAUUAGUAUGCUGUCAAAAUUGACCUGUGAGCACUUUUAUAUGUGCAUAAGGAAUUAAAGUUGCAACCUUUGGAUCAAUUUGUUGGCAAGUACUUGAUUUUAUCCCAAAGCGCGGAUCAUACCACUAGACCAAAUGCCCUCUUUGAUGUUGAUUGCAAUGCUUUUUUCUUCUGAUAAGGUAUUAAAGCUCAUGGAUAUAAUUUGAAGAAUGUUUGUUGCAUGGAUAUACUGGGUUGUUGUUGUUGUAAUGUUUGUUGCAUGAGUUUCAGGUAGAUGAUUUGCACUUACUUGUACUGUAUCUACCAAUCUUACUCACAAUUUUAGCAAAUCCUCUUGAUUUAUUCAUUCAUAUGAAGUAAAAAUGACAAAAAUAAACACGAGGAAAAUUGAACAAUGAUUAUCAUUAAUAAUAACCAACAUAGUAAUAAUGGAAAAUGAACCAGAUGGAAAACUCUGAAAGAUUGACCUUGAGCACUUCUGUUCUCGUACAUGUGUUCUGGAGAAUGUUGUGCAUUGAGCUUGUACUUCCUUGCAGUCAACCAGUUUGCAUUUGAAAGUUCUUUCCUGCUUCAGUAUUUUCUUGUGCAUAUGUAAGUAUUUGAAGUUUGGUGUUUCGUACAUCUUUAAGUGGUACAAAUGCUUAUGAGCAGCUGAAUUUGUCUUUACUGACAUGGUACUGUACUAAUCUGUUAUGAGGAUUUUCUUGUAUCAAUCCAAACUAAAAGGGUAUGUUUUCACCCUAAAAGAUUCUGUCCUCAACGAAUGUUACAGUGUGGAAGAGUCAAAACCAUACUUGUGGAUAACAUUCUUUACUUGAAACAUCAAACAUCAAACAGUUAUAGUUUGCUGGCUUUAUGAAUACUGCCACUUUGUACCCCUAGUAUUUUGUGAUUGUGUUGCUAUCUGCUCUGAAAGUUCUAGUCUCAUAACUAAUUUGGUUGAUUGAUUUGCAUAUGGGGACUUUGGAUGACAUCCAUUGCCAUUACUGGCUUACAGUCAUCAGCAUGGUUCUGGAAUUAAAAUGAGUUGAUGUACACUUUUGUGUAUCAUGCUAACAUUAGUACCAGAGUAUCUUCAGUGACUAACCCCGUUUCUUUAUAGUGUCUUAGAUAAACUUUGGAUCAGAUUUUUGAUACUAUCUACUCAAGUAGUCUUACUUAACCUCUUCAGUACCGUAAACCAUAUAUAAAAAGUGUACUCAAACAUUUAUGUGGCUUCUGUACCUUUAGAAGCAAUAAUGCAUCAUAGGAAGGCUACAACAUGUUUAAUAAGCCUUAGUCGAUCUCCAGAGGACAACACUUUUCUUUUCCAAUCUGAUUCUCUUUUUCAUUUUCUCUAGUAGAGGAAUUUUCUCUCUUUAUUCUCUUGAGGGAUAAGAAAUCCAGGUACUUGAUAGGAAAAUUACCAUUUUUAAUGAAUAGGGUAUUUAGUAGGAAUUCUUUAAGAUAAAUGGUGUCUUACCUUGUAUCUGCAUGUGCUGAAAUAAGGAAGAGUCAGAUUCUAAUAAUAAAUUAUCUACUAAAGAAAACAUUAAAAACUUGAUCUAGUCUACAUUUGAAUUGAAAAAAGAUGGGGCAUUCCGAGAAUUGAACUCGGGACCUCUCGCACCCAAAGCGAGAAUCAUACCACUAGACCAAAUGCCCAGUUGUUGAUUAUUGUCAUUUUUGGCUCAUGAUCAAUGUCUUUUCCUUAUUGUCUGGAAAAAUCAAUCAUAAAAGCUUUGCAUAGUUGCAAAUUUAGAAUCUUUAGACCUCUUAAUUCAGACCCGUUGAUAUUUUUAGUACUUCUGCUGUAUCCUAAUAUUACUGGAAAAAGACAAGUGCUUUAAUGCUUCUGCUUUGGCAACCUCUUUUCUGAUCUUCACUUUUCCUGACUUCUACAGAUGCUACAACCUUCUUUUGUACUGGUCCAAUUCUCUUUGAAAUCCUCUUUUACUAGAUUUAACCCAGUGGUUGUAUAUUAUCCAAGAACAUGGAAUUUGACUUAAAGUGAAGCUAGAUCUCUGGCGUAAAUCGGUUUGCUUCAUGUUCUAGCACCACUGUUUUGAGGUGAAUUCACAGCAUAAAUUGAGGCACCAAAUUUAGGAAUAACAUAUACUGAAGAAACAUGGCUUUCCUGCUAAUUUUGUUGCUCCCAGAUUCUUUUUGUUACUUAAAUAAUAUAGGAUGAUAUUCUUGUUUAUAUAUAACUACAUGUAUUCGAGCUUGUUCAUAUUGCGGGUCUCAUAGAACAUGCAUUUUGGCUGACUGUCUUGGUUGUCUUAUGAUCAGAAUGUGCACAGAACAGGAGAACAAAAAGAGUGGUGAAAGUCAAACAUUAAGUAUGGUUUACAAAAAUACACUAGAAAGAAGAAUCAGUUCUAGAAUUCUGCCUUGACUGUUUGGAUCAGCAAUAAGUAGUUAGCGCCUUCUUGUAUCAAUUUCCUUUUGUUAGUAUUUAAUACAGUAAAUAAAUUUUAUUGUCCAUGCAUGACGUAAAGGGAAUUCCGUUCAUCAUUGGAAUCCCAACAUCUUAAAUACUUGAUGAGCUUACUGCAGUUUUCAGAACAGGAAUCUCAAUGUUAAUUGUUCAGCAAAGUGUUAAAUGAAAAUCCUAUAUUUUUCCUUCUGAUCCUUUAUAACCCGCAGGAGUACAGGCUUGAAAAAGGGUAGUCAAAAUUUGGGGGCAUUCCGAGAAUCGAACUCGGGACCUCUCUCACCCAAAGCGAGAAUCAUACCACUAGACCAAAUGCCCGUUUGUUGACAAUUUCCAUCUUCGAGUUUUAGUCAAAUGUAACUUUCCCUUGUGAGUUAUUUGGUUGUGAAUGUCUUUGCUUAUCUGCAAUUUAGGCUUCAGAUACUCCAUAAUCCACACCAGUUGAUCUUCAUUUGCUUAUCAAGUAUUCUUUGGUACUUUUGCUGACUCCCAUUUAGAAAUGGGAGAUACUCAGAGGGAGUGCUUACAUAUGAUGUAUUUGCAGCUUCCUCUGAUUUGCGCUGCUCUCGAUCCCUAAAGAUGCUAUCAGCUUUAGUUGUUACUGGUGCUUGUCUAUGUAUCAUCCUUUUCUAUCAUACUCAACCUUUUUGAGCAUCUGGAAUAAAAAAGCCACGAAAUUUGUCUAGUGAUUGAGAACUGUCAUUGGACAUGAGACCAGGUCCUGGCAUUAGCUGUGUUAAUAUUGCAUGUUUGAGCAUCAUAGUAAGGAAAGCCUACUCAAGUAUCACAUUUAUAGUUAAACACGGACUUUCUGUUGGGUUCUGUUCUUACCAGUUCUCUUUUGGGCACCUUCUCUUUUAAGCUUGUGAGAAUGCACGGGGGAAAAAUCUAUUAUUAACAAUGAUACAAUGAGCCCUAUAUAUAAUACAUAUUCUAUUCCUACUACAUAUGGGACUAUGACAUAUUCUACUCCUACUACAUAUAGGACUAGGAUAUAUUCUACCCCUACUAAAUAUGGAAUUAGGACUAUUUACACAUAAUUAUCUAACACUCCCCGUGAGCAACAAAACCAGGUGGUUGCUGAUAAAUAGAAGUUGACCGAAAAGUCGCCAGAAAAAUUUGAUAAUAGUGAGACUAGCAGAAUUCCACACUACAGAAUAGGUUCUAAAACACCGCCAGAAAACAAAAACUUUCCGAGAAAUCACUAUUCACGCGGAAGAUCACUGUUCACCCCGGAAAAAGUGCACUGCUCACGCUGAAAAAAAUAAAAGUUGUCAGAAUUUGAUGUAAUUUAUAUGGGUAGGCUCGGAAUCACUGGACGAGUAAGCUGUCCUGGAGAAGUUUUGUCAAAAAGUGGCAGGAAUGGCUCACUCGCGCCGAAAAUUCACUGUCAGCGGCGCGUGAGGGCGCGUGACAGGUAUUCUGACGGAGAUUUUUUUCGGGGUUGGUCACCGGAGGGUGAUCUACCUCGUGGUGGUGUUGGUUUUUGCACAACACCGACAAAAAGGAACUUUUAAAUUGGACAGACCUGCAGGCACCGGAAAAUUUUCUGGUUAACUGAUUUCUUCUUCUCGGAGUCGCUGGUAUUUUUGCACAGGGAUGAAUCUCUCACGUUAGCUCUCAUACCCUCUGAGAAAGCACGGGAGAAAAAUGUAUUAUUGAUAUUAAUUGUAAUACAAUUAACCCUAUUUAUAAGUACACAUAGUAUAUAACCUACUUCUAUUACAUAUGCGACUAAGACUAUUUGCACAUAACUAUCUAACAAAGCUAUAUCGUUUUCACUUGUCUUCAUGAAAUUGUGCAGCUCACUCUAUGUAAAUUGGUACAGAACAACACGGUACAAUGAUGUUCAUGCAUUGUUGGUUUUCUAAUGGAAAUGAAAAUUGCUCAUGAACUAUGGGUAUACAUUCAGCCCUCAUUUUGAUGUGAAAUUCUGCGAGCUUUUGCCUGAAUUUCUGAAAGAACUUUCAGCCAUUGAUGAUCAAUGAUUUCAGUUGUUACUGUUGAUUUCCUUGACCCAUAUAUGGCUUUGUUUUUCUUUCUUUGAGAAGUAAAUGACCUUGUUAUAGACUAAACAUUAUGAAUCUCUGAUGUAGACAAACCCAUGUACUAACUUAACUUUUAAGUUUUGCCUUCUCAGUCAGAUUGAAAACAGAUGGUAAAACUGGAACGCAUGUGUGAAAUGAUGGCUCAAGAUAGUUGAGAUACUUGAGCUUACCCUUCAGUAUUUAUAUUCAGGAUCUGUUCGGAGAUUGACAUGAACUUUGGAGGUUUAGAUCUGCUUAUCAGAAACUGAACAGGUAGCCCCAACACUGCACUAUUGCUGUAUUAAUUUUUAGCUCAUAGUCUAGUUACAUGUUAUUCAGUUCAUCUAACUCAUGCCAUUUGGUGGCUCAUUAAUGAGAGUACAAAGAAUCUUUUCCUGCAAAUUAUGCUGUAUAAAGACAGGCUUGAAAAAAGGGCACUAAUUUUUUUUGGGGCAUUCCGAGAAUCGAACUCGGGACCUCUCGCACCCAAAGCGAGAAUCAUACCACUAGACCAAAUGCCCAGCUUUUGUUGGUCCCUCUGCCUAAAUAAUAGCUGGAAGUUUCAUGUACAGUUAUCUGGAGCCUAUACCAUUUCUAUGAAAUUAUUUUCUAGGAGUACCAGCAUUCUCCAGUGUCUCGGGGAUCUUCCAUUGUUAAAAUAAUGUAAAAGUGUUUUAGUUGUAGACUGGAAGUUGGUGUAUCUGGUUGUAAUAUCUGAACAUAGUCAACUGUAGAAUCAUUUAGAGAUGAAGGAGCGUUUGGAGAUUUAAAUCAACUUAGAGUAAAUUAAAAUUCUACAAAAUCAAGGGGCAUUCCGAGAAUUGAACUCGGGACCUCUCGCACCCAAAGCGAGAAUCAUACCACUAGACCAAAUGCCCAUUCGUUGACAUUGUCAUCUUUGAGUUUUAGUCAAACGUAUUUUUCACCUUCUGAGUUAUUUGAUCGCAAUGUCUUGCUUAUCUGCAAUAUAGAUUUAUACUCCUUAUUCAUACCAGCUGAUAUUCAUUUGCUUAAAAAAAUGUUCUUCAGUCCUUAUUGUGACUCCCACAUGGAUUAGUGAGAUGUAAAGAGGGGUUGAUUAAAAUAUUAUGUUUUUGCUCUCUGAUUUGUGCUGAUCUCAAUGCAUAAAGAUGCUAUCAGCUCUGGUAAUUUCUGUCACUUGUCUAUUCACUAUCCUUCUCUGUCAUAUUCAACCUUUUGGGCAUUCGGAAUCCAAAAGCAAUGAAGUCUGUCUAGUGAUUAAGAACUCUCAUUGGACAUGAGGCCAGGUCUCUGGCAUUUGCGGGAUUAAGAUGACUUGUUUGACAUCAUAGUUCGAGUUAAAUCAUGCCUGAAGUAAAGAAAGCUCCACUAAGUUGGGGAGCAUCACAUUAAUAGUUAAACCUUGGCUUCUGUUGUGUUCUCUUAUUUCCAGUUCUCUUUCGGAUACGUUCUUUAUCAAGCUAUAUCCUUAUCACUUUUUUUCAUGGAAUGGUGCAGCUCAUUAUAUGUAAAUUGGGCGCAACUCAACAUGGU
rnacentral:lncRNA from 1 species